rnacentral:rRNA from 1 species
GGACGAACGCUGGCGGCGUGCUUAACACAUGCAAGUCGAGCGAUGAAGCUCUUCGGAAGUGGAUUAGCGGCGGACGGGUGAGUAACACGUGGGUAACCUGCCUCAUAGAGGGGAAUAGCCUUCCGAAAGGAAGAUUAAUACCGCAUAAGAUUGUAAUAUCGCAUGAUAUAGCAAUUAAAGGAGUAAUCCGCUAUGAGAUGGACCCCGCGUCGCAUUAGCUAGUUGGUGAGGUAACGGCUCACCAAGGCGACGAUGCGUAGCCGACCUGAGAGGGUGAUCGGCCACAUUGGGACUGAGACACGGCCCAGACUCCUACGGGAGGCAGCAGUGGGGAAUAUUGCACAAUGGGGGAAACCCUGAUGCAAGCAACGCCGCGUGAGUGAUGACGGUCUUCGGAUUGUAAAGCUCUGUCUUCAGGGACGAUAAUGACGGUACCUGAGGAGGAAGCCACGGCUAACUACGUGCCAGCCGCCGC